UAAGGAAGGAAGGAAGGAAGGAAGGAAGGUCAAGAGAGGAUAAGGAAGGAAGGAAGGAAGGUCAAGAGAGGAUAAGGAAGGAAGGAAGGAAGGAAGGAAGGAAGGAAGGAAGGAAGGAAGGUCAAGAGAGGAUAAGGAAGGAAGGAAGGAAGGAAGGAAGGAAGGUCAAGAGAGGAUAAGGAAGGAAGGAAGGAAGGAAGGAAGGAAGGAAGGAAGGAAGGUCAAGAGAGGAUAAGGAAGGAAGGAAGGUCAAGAGAGGAUAAGGAAGGAAGGUCAAGAGAGGAUAAGGAAGGAAGGUCAAGAGAGGAUAAGGAAGGAAGGUCAAGAGAGGAUAAGGAAGGAAGGUCAAGAGAGGAUAAGGAAGGAAGGUCAAGAGAGGAUAAGGAAGGAAGGUCAAGAGAGGAUAAGGAAUAUGAAGAAAGGACAAGGAAGACGAAGAAAGGGUAAGGAAGAUGAAAAAGGUUGAAACUUCAUACAGGUAAGGGCAUGCGUAUCGCUAUACACGAAGAAGACUGCUCAGAAGACUACAAUGCAAAUAACAAACCGUGCUUUAGUUUUCGCUUGCAUGAAAAAUAGGUGUGGAUAAAACGUAGCUUACAGGGGAAUUUCUGAUCCAGGAAUGUAUGACAUAUUAAAUAGGAGCGGAAUAUAGACCCAGUCCGAUACAUCGAAUGCA